UAGUUCCUUAACACUGGCCAUCACACACAAGGAGUGACCAAUCACUGACCAUCACACAAGAAGAAUGACCAAUCACUGACCAUCUCACAGAAGGAAUGACCAAUCACUGACCAUCACACACAAGGAAUGACCAAUCACUGACCAUAACA